rnacentral:tRNA from 1 species
UGGCUUAGUUGGUUAAAGCGCCAAACUAGCGAUUCGGAGUCGUGGGUUCGAAUCCAAC